rnacentral:rRNA from 1 species
CCUACGGGAGGCUGCAGUGAGGAAUAUUUGUCAAUGGGCGCGAGCCUGAACCAGCCAAGUCGCGUGAGGGAAGACAGUCCUAUGGAUUGUAAACCUCUUUUGUCGGGGAGCAAAAGACGCCACGCGUGGCGUUCCGAGAGUACCCGAAGAAAAAGCAUCGGCUAACUCCGUGCCAGCAGCCGCGGUAAUACGGAGGAUGCGAGCGUUAUCCGGAGUUAUUGGGUUUAAAGGGUGCGCAGGCGGAAGAUCAAGUCAGCGGUAAAAUUGAGAGGCUCAACCUCUUCGAGCCGUUGAAACUGGUGUUCUUGAGUGAGCGAGAAGUAAGCGGAAUGCGUGGUGUAGCGGUGAAAUGCAUAGAUAUCACGCAGAACUCCGAUUGCGAAGGCAGCAUACCGGCGCUCAACUGACGCUCAUGCACGAAAGUGUGGGUAUCGAACAGGAUUAGAUACCCCGGUAGUC